rnacentral:rRNA from 1 species
UACGUAGGGUGCGAGCGUUGUCCGGAAUUAUUGGGCGUAAAGAGCUUGUAGGCGGUCUGUCGCGUCUGCUGUGAAAAUCCGGGGCUCAACCCCGGACUUGCAGUGGGUACGGGCAGACUAGAGUGUGGUAGGGGAGACUGGAAUUCCUGGUGUAGCGGUGAAAUGCGCAGAUAUCAGGAGGAACACCGGUGGCGAAGGCGGUUCUCUGGGCCUGACCUGACGCUGAGGAGCGAAAGCGUGGGGAGCGAACAGG